GGGCCAGUAAUGGUUUCGACAGGGAUCAUGCAGCUGGAGAAGCGAGUCGCAGGGGAUGCGUUAAAUUCCAAACCUAAAAUUAAACGCUGAUAAUAGAAAAUUAGCAUACGCUGCCUAAUCGCAGCAGUCUGACCUGACGCACCUGCACGUCGGGAUCCAGGCUUCGACCAUGCAGGAAACGACGCCGGCUAAGCUUUGCACCGGCGGGCGUAUUAUGAAGCUACUGAAACCGUCAGGAUGUUCGUUUCCGGGCGGCGGAGGGAAUCUCAAAUAACGGACUACGCUCGUAGAAGGACAGGGAAUUGGUUUUUGGACACGGGUUCGACUCCCGUCUGGUCCAUCA
rnacentral:tmRNA from 1 species